AUUGAACGCUGGCGGCAUGCCUUACACAUGCAAGUCGAACGGCAGCACGGGUGCUUGCACCUGGUGGCGAGUGGCGAACGGGUGAGUAAUACAUCGGAACGUACCUUAUCGUGGGGGAUAACGCAGCGAAAGCUGUGCUAAUACCGCAUACGCCCUGAGGGGGAAAGCGGGGGAUCGAAAGACCUCGCGCGAUUAGAGCGGCCGAUGCCUGAUUAGCUUGUUGGUGGGGUAAAAGCCCACCAAGGCGACGAUCAGUGGCUGGUCUGAGAGGACGAUCCACCACACUGGGACUGAGACACGGCCCAGACUCCUACGGGAGGCAGCAGUGGGGAAUUUUGGACAAUGGGGGCAACCCUGAUCCAGCAAUGCCGCGUGAGUGAAGAAGGCCUUCGGGUUGUAAAGCUCUUUUUUCAGGGAAGAAACACCGGCUCUAACACAGUCCGGGAAUGACGGUACCUGAAGAAUAAGCACCGGCUAACUACGUGCCAGCCGCCGCCGUAA
rnacentral:rRNA from 1 species